GUCUCUUCGGGGGUAUCGAAUAAAAUUGGACGAUACAAAAAGAUUAGAAUGGCCUCCGAGUAAGGAUGACAUGCACAAAUCAAAAAAUGGUCCAAAUUUUU